rnacentral:rRNA from 1 species
UACGAAGGGGGCUAGCGUUGCUCGGAAUCACUGGGCGUAAAGGGUGCGUAGGCGGCGCGGUAAGUCGGGUGUGAAAUCCUGGAGCUCAACUCCAGAACUGCCUUUGAUACUGAAGAUCUUGAGUCCGGGAGAGGUGAGUGGAACUGCGAGUGUAGAGGUGAAAUUCGUAGAUAUUCGCAAGAACACCAGUGGCGAAGGCGGCUCACUGGCCCGGUACUGACGCUGAGGCACGAAAGCGUGGGGAGCAAACAGG